GUUUUGUUUUGUUGUUCUAAAGGGAAAUGCUGUGUCUUUAGGAAAGCGAUGGUGGUGGUGUGGGCACAACAGCAAGGAAGGGAGACUGGAGGCUCUUAGAACAGGGGCGGGGAUGACUGGGUCGAAGCCUUCAUGAGCCUUGUGCCAUCAAGGUUCAUGAUAAAAUAAACUUUCAGAACUCUGUUAUUCCUGUCAAAGUGAAAGAUUAACUGAAGACAAGGGGAAGAGAAGCAAACAGAAGCUCAGCCACCCACCCCCACCCCUGUGGGAGCUCCCCAGUAUCUGCCUCUUCCCACAAAGCAGUCUACUUAUUCACAUGUCCUGCAGGCUACCUCCUAGGAUUUGAUGUCCUUCUGGGUUCUCAAUACAGGGAUGUACAUGUACACACACCUUACUCUUCAUCCCUUGGACACCUCAUGCCAGCAACUGGGAGAUGGCAGUGACCACUGCUGCUACAUUGAUAACGUGAUAUGGAGGCACCACCCACUCUGCUCAGUGAUCAGGGAUCAAAGCACCCAGACCUCUUGGAGGUGGCAGCCCAAUGACCCAAGCCUGAAGUGGGACCCACACACAAAGGGAUAGGAAGGAGGAAGGCCUACUUUUAGCAGCUUCCAGGUCCCAGACGCGGAUGGAGCCCGACUGGGAACCAGCUACGAUGAGCUCCUCAGGAGUGUUGAGACGGACACUCUCCACAGGGGACGUGUGACCUGUCAGGCUCUGCAGAGAGAAGGUGGCAGCUCCAAUGAACUGCAGGGGUAACCCCCAGCUACUGCCCCGGAUUUAGGGUCCCUGAGAAUGGCUCUGGAAGAAAUAAUAUGUGGUGAGCUGUUCUCUGGGGCCCCGCCUAUAUCCUAACUCAGGUGAGCAUGGUGUCUCAUCAGCACAAUGGAUGAAGCGGCCCUUCAGACACCUGUGACCCUAGCAUUUGGGAAACAAAGGCAGGAGGAUGAGUUCCAGGCCAGUCUGGACUACAUACUGAGACUCUGGGAAAAAAAAAAAAAAAAAG
rnacentral:lncRNA from 1 species